rnacentral:rRNA from 1 species
UGCCAGCCGCCGCGGUAAUACGUAGGGUGCAAGCGUUAAUCGGAAUUACUGGGCGUAAAGCGUGCGCAGGCGGUUCUGUAAGACGGAUGUGAAAUCCCCGGGCUCAACCUGGGAAUUGCAUUCGUGACUGCAGGACUAGAGUCCAUCAGAGGGAGGUGGAAUUCCAAGUGUAGCAGUGAAAUGCGUAGAUAUUUGGAAGAACACCAAUGGCGAAGGCAGCCUCCUGGGAUGUCACUGACGCUCAUGCACGAAAGCGUGGGGAGCAAACAGGAUUAGAUA